AUGGUGAAUCUACAGGAUGGAUACGAAUUCAGAAUACAAAUUUUGGGACAACUAUUAACAUUCAAAGAGAAUGAUAUGAAGACAACAUGUCUGUUGGUGUCCUGGGAUUCAUCAGUUGUAUCUGGAAAAACCAAAGUAAAACUGGUACUCCGAUUUUUAUUCUACUUUUUUACAGAUAUAGAAAAGGUUGUACAUACCACAGAGAGUUAUCGUGUGUGGCUGACACAAACUCCAAAUGUGGCACCUCUUCUUAAAAGUUCACCGUAUGAACGAGGGACAUGCAUUUGCUUUGAUCCCAACCUUUGUGAUAUAGUUAGAAGGUUUCAUCAUAACAAAAAUUGUUAG
rnacentral:rRNA from 1 species